AGAGGAGAAAUAUGAGAUAUAAAUAUUCUGACUCAUGUAAUGAUGCAUUUUAGUUUUGGCAGCAUACAACUAGUUCAAUCAUUCUGAAAUCUAACACUUGGCCAGAGUGCAAAACGGAGAGCAUUGGUGCCACCAAGAAAAAAAAGGUCCAAGAUCCAAGGUUUGGUUCAACCCCCAACUUUAAAAGAACCUGAGCCAUAACAACUCUUUUUAUGCCUAUCUCUACACAACUAACACAAAAAAACUAUAAACUAUUGAUAAAAAAACGUAUUUGAUAUAAUCAUUGCGAACUUUCGUGAACAAACGAGCAAUAUCAUUGUGACUGAAAUCAACAGUGAUGGAAAACAACAGGUCAAACCUCUCUUCCAAGUCCGGGCUUCAAACGCGGUUCUCACAAUCGGCCAGAAACAGAGCUGGUCGUACUAACGCCACCACGCCCAUUCCACCUUUAAUCACAAGCAGAUCUAGGCUCACAAAUCGAACGCCCACAACAACAAUCCCCGGACGAAGCAACACCUCCAGGCAGAUUAUCCCAUCAGCGCCAAAUAGUGGCAAUGUGGGCCGUCAAUUGCCCGCAAGAUCACCACGUAAUGCUGAGGCAAGGAGGAACAGCACCCGUGGGAUGACCACCACAUCCGUUGCCAAUGGUUAUAUUGGUCAUCCUCACAACUGUCCCAUAGACCUCAAUAGGCCUCGGCCAGGAGUUGCAGGCACCAAACACAAGAAAAAAUAGAGCUGCACACCCACAACUCAUAAAACGAAGUAUGGACGGGAAAGAUUACUACAGAUACCAUCCAAAGGGGUUUGGGCUGGUUGAAAACGUUCAAGUACCUACAUGUGCUCCGCCGAAGACAAUAAACAGACGAUGAAAAACAAGACGA